GAUUAGAAUGCUAGGCGACGUGUUCGCAAGAACGUCGUGCCGCACAGCUCAGUAACACGUAGUCAACCUGCCCUGAAGUGGAGGAUAACCGCGCGAAAGUGCGACUAAUACUCCAUAGGAGAAGGAUGCUGGAAUGCGUCUUCUCUGAAAGUUACGGCGCUUCAGGAUGGGACUGCGGCGGAUUAGGCUGUUGUUGGUGUAACGGACCAACAAACCGAUAAUCCGUACGGGCGUUAAGAGACGUAGCCCGGAGAUGUGUCCUGAGACAAUGACACAGGCCCUACGGGGCGCAGCAGUCGCGAAACCUUUACAACGGCUUAACGGCUGAUAGGGGAAUUCUGAGUGCUGCAGUUUACUGCAGCUUUUGUCAAGUCUAAACAGCUUGGCGAAUAAGGGGUGGGCAAUACGGGUGCCAGCCGCCACGGUAAUACCCGAGCCCCGAGUGGUUACCACUUUUAUUGGGCCUAAAGCAUUCGUAGCCGGCCUGGAAAGUCCCUGGUGAAAUCCUGCGUUAAACGCAGGAAGUGCUAGGGAAACUGCCAGGCUUGGGACCGGGAAACGCUAGCGGUACUCCAGGGGUAAGGGUAAAAUCUUAUCAUCCUUGGGGGACCACCUGUGGCGAGAAUCUUCACAGAUUUUGCUACAGAACUUUUGUGGAGAUUAUCCAUACAAGGCGGCUAGCGGGAACGGCUCCGACGGUGAGGGAUGAAAGCGUGGGAGCAAACCGGAUUAGAUACCCGGGUAGUCCCAGCUGUAAACUAUGCAAACUCA
rnacentral:rRNA from 1 species